UGGACCCGCGGGGUUUCUUCCUUUUUGCUGGGCUGUGUCACGCGGCAUGAAAUUACACAGCUCAGGCCUGUAAUCCCAGCACUUUAGGGGGCCGAGGUGGGCAGAUCACUCGAGUCCAGGAGUUGAAGAGUAGCCAGGGCAUCAUAGCGAAACCCCAUCUCUACAAAAAAUUCCAAAAAAGAUUAGUUGGGCCUGGUGGUGCGUACCUGUUAUCCCUGUUACUGGAGAGGCUGAGGUGGGAGGAUCGCUUGGGCCCAGGAGCUGGACGUUGCAGUGAGCCGAGAUGGCCCCGCUGCACUCUUGUCUCUAACAAACAAAAUGGACCAAAACAAAGUGAAAUGUCAUUUGAUUUGUGUCAUCUGGUUUGAUGACUUUUUUUUUUUUUUUUUUAGACAGAGUCUCACUCUGUCGCCCAGGCUGGAGUGCAGUGGCAAGAUCUCGGCUCACUGCAACCUCCGCUUCCGGGGUUCAAGCAAUUGUCCUGCCUCAGCCUCCUGAGUAGCUCAGAUUACAAUGCCUGGCUAAUUUUUGUAUUUUUAGUAGAGAUGGGGUUUCACCAUGUUCGCCAGGAUGGUCUCCAUCUCUUGACCUCGUGAUCUGCCUGCCUCGGCCUCCCAGUGCUGGGAUUACAGGCGUGAGCCACCGCGCCUGGCCAAAAUAUAUAACCUUAAGUGUUAUCAAUACUCUGGCUGUCUAUCGUCAUCGUGAGACUGACUUUUGUGGAGGAGUUCGAGACCACCCUGGCCAACAUGGCAAAACCCCAUCUCCACAAAAAUUGGAUAAUUUGAUAAUUAUCAUUAUUGGGUUUCUGAGACCUUACACAUUUACCAUUCUCUUCUGCACAAAUUACCUUUGUGUGAGUAUACUAACUUUCUGUAGAGGUAUACUUGUAAUCACAAAUAAGAAUAAAUUAUAUAAAACAA